UCGAUCAACGCUGGAGAGCGCUGCCCGGAGCUCUGAAUUAAAAAGGACUCCGAGGGCAGCCGCCGAAGGGGCAAGCCGUGUGCGAUGAGCGUGCAUGGUGAAUCUCUCAGGCCAAAGGACAGCAGGGGCAUC
rnacentral:ncRNA from 1 species